UACGGAGGGUGCAAGCGUUAUCCGGAUUCACUGGGUUAAAGGGUGCGUAGGCGGGCAGGUAAGUCAGAGGUGAAAGCUCAGGGCUCAACUCUGAGUCGGCCGGUGAUACUCUCGUGCUUGAGCACUGUAGAGGCAGGUGGAAUUCCCAGUGUAGAGGUGAAAUUCGUAGAUAUUGGGAAGAACACCGAUGGCGAAGGCAGCCAUCUGGACCGACACUGACGCUGAGGCGCGAAAGCGUGGGGAGCAAACAGG
rnacentral:rRNA from 1 species